AAUGUUUGGGCAUCAGAGAGGGUCUGGGAUGUUAAGUAAACUCAGAAAAACCAUUAUCUUCAUAUAGAAUUACAGCCUCCGAAAGGAUGGCAUCCACGGUGGAUUCAUUACAGGUCGACAGCCCAGAAGUGCUACGUAGUAAGUACUCCCAGGAGCGACCCCCAACCAGCGAAGGACCGGAGAUGGUGGACCCAAGCUUGCUUGACCAUGGUGGGGCAGCCAGGCAUGACUCUACCCAGCCCCAGGUUGCCCUGUGAUAACCUGUUCAUCAACACAGUUUCUGUUAGCUUUUCACCCUUCCCUUCCUCCCUUCCCUGUUCCC
rnacentral:lncRNA from 1 species